GACGAACGCUGGCGGCGUGCUUAACACAUGCAAGUCGAACGGAAAGGCCCUGCUUGCAGGGUACUCGAGUGGCGAACGGGUGAGUAACACGUGGGUGAUCUGCCCUGCACUUCGGGAUAAGCUUGGGAAACUGGGUCUAAUACCGGAUAGGACCGCACUUUAGUGUGUGUGGUGGAAAGUUUUUUCGGUGUAGGAUGAGCUCGCGGCCUAUCAGCUUGUUGGUGGGGUAAUGGCCUACCAAGGCGGCGACGGGUAGCCGGCCUGAGAGGGUGUACGGCCACAUUGGGACUGAGAUACGGCCCAGACUCCUACGGGGGGCAGCAGUGGGGAAUAUUGCACAAUGGGCGCAAGCCUGAUGCAGCGACCCCGGGGGGGGGAUGAAGGCCUUCGGGUUUUAAACUCCUUUCGCUAGGGACGAAGCUUUUUGUGGCGGUACCGAGAUAAGAAGCCCCGGCUAACUACGU
rnacentral:rRNA from 1 species